AUUCUCCUGCCUCAGCUUCCGGAGCAGCUGGGACUGCUGGCGCCCGCCACUACGCUCGGCUAAUUUUUUUGUGUUUUUAGUAGAGACGGGCUUUCACCGUGUUGGCCUAGCGGUUCUCCAACUCCUGACCUCAUGAUCCCCCCGCCUCAGCCUCCCAAAGUGCUGGGAUUACAAGCGUGAGCCACCGCGACCCGCCAACACUCUUGACAACAGUGCUGUGCUAAGAACUUGGGGGACUUCAAAAAGUUCACCAGUUCCUGUGUCCAUGGGUGAAAAGAUUUUCUACAUCUUUCCUUGACUAGAAACAGAAGUCCUGAAACAAGGUACACCUUCUUGAGGCUUACUUGAAUAUAACGUCAGGAGGCCAGAGGCUUUGUCCUGCCUAAUGUGUUAUUUCCACACUGAAUAAAAGCACCUGAGUCCUGGUUCUGGAGAUUGGGGCAUGAUAUCUUCCUUGGGCCAUUACUUGUCCUGCCACUUGGAAUAGGUGCUUAUAAGCCACCUCUAAGAUAAUGAAUAACUUGCAAUUUGAUCCGUGAUUUACAUAACGUGUAUGUUUUUCCUGUUUGCAAAGGCAUAUGGCAAGGGAGUAAAGCCAAACUUUUUACCACAUGGCAAAAAUAAUUGUAUUUUGCAACAGACUAAAAGCUUAAUGCUAUACAGACUUUGGGUUGGUGGAGUUACUUGAGGAUUUACUCCAGCAAAACAAAAAAAAGAAUGAAAGAAAGAGAAAGAUAAAAAUAUGAAAGAAGCAACAGACCUAUUCCAGAAAUGUAAUGAAAAAAGGCCACGAAGUUUGACAACUAUGUAUUAAAUUUACAAUCAGUCCAAAUUAGACUGGUAGUCAGAUUGAUAUGAGAAGUACAUUUUCAAAAAGAUGUACUAUACCAAAUAAUAUGAGUGCAAAACUCUGGAUGAUUUUAGUAAUAAUGUGAAGACACAUAUUUCUUUUGACAAUUAAAAAAAAGAAAAUGAAUUGGAAACUUCAGGAAACGUCAGAAAAUACAAAAUGCUCUGUAGGAAGUAAUUGUCUAAAUGAGAGGUGAAGCCAGUGGGACUUCCUGGAUUGGAUGGGGACUUGGAGAACUUUUCUGUCUAGCUAAAGGAUUGUAAACACACCAAUCAGUGCUCUGUGUCUAGCUAAAGGAUCGCAAAUGCACCAAUCAGCACUCUGUAAAAAUUCUGUGUCUAGCUAAAGGUUUGUAAAUGCACCAAUCAGCAAUCUGUUAGAAUGCACCAAUCAGUGCUCUGUGUCUAGCUAAAGGUUUGUAGAUGCACCAAUCAGCACUCUGUAAAAACGCAUCAAUCAGCGUUCUGUGUCUAGCUAAAGGUUUGUAGACACAUCAAUCAGCACUCAGUAAAAACGCACCAAUCAGCACUCUGUAAAAUGGACCAGUCAGCGCUCUGUAAAAUGGACCAAUCAGCAGGAUGUGGGCGGAGCCAAUAAGGGAAUAAAAGCUGGCCACCAGAGCCAGCCAGUGGCAACCUGCUUGGGUCCCCUUCCACCCUGUGGAAGCUUUAUUCUUUUGCCCUUCACAAUAAAUCUUGCUGCUGCUUACUCUUUGGGUCUACAUUACCUUUAUGAGCUGUAUCGCUCACCAUGAGGGUCUGCGGCUUCACUCCUGAGGUCAGCGAGACCACGAACCCACUGGGAGGAACAAACAACUCCAGAAGCACAACCUUUAAGAGCUGUAACACUCACUGUGAAGGUCUGUGGCUUCACUCCUGAAGUCAGCGAGACCACGAACCCACCAGAAGGAAGAAACUCCGGACACAUCUGAAAUCUGAAGAAACAAACUCUGGACACACCAUCUUUAAGAACUGUAACACUCACUGCGAGGGUCCCCGACUUCAUUCUUAAAGUCAGUGAGACCAAGAACCCACUGGAAGGAACCAAUUCUGGGCACAUAAAUAUGCAGCAAAAUACAAUAUGGUAUGAUUUUGAGCAAUUGAUGAAUAUGUAGAAAAAUUAUUCAAUCCUGAUGUUUGAAAUAUGCUACUUUGAGUAGCAGCCUUGUAGUGACCUAAAUGUAUUUCUGUAGAUAAAAUUGAACUAUGUGGUACUAUAGUGAAUAAUGUGUGUUACAAUAUAAUAGCAUGCACAAUUGUAUAUAUGAAGUUUAGAACACUUCUACAUUUUAAUAUCUGUAAUAUGAUUAUACUCAUAUAUGUGUACUCAGAUUUUAAAACAUAAUAAAAUAUAAAUGUUA